rnacentral:rRNA from 1 species
ACGGGUGAGUAAUGCUUAGGAAUCUGCCUAUUAGUGGGGGACAACAUCUCGAAAGGGAUGCUAAUACCGCAUACGUCCUACGGGAGAAAGCAGGGGAUCUUCGGACCUUGCGCUAAUAGAUGAGCCUAAGUCGGAUUAGCUAGUUGGUGGGGUAAAGGCCUACCAAGGCGACGAUCUGUAGCGGGUCUGAGAGGAUGAUCCGCCACACUGGGACUGAGACACGGCCCAGACUCCUACGGGAGGCAGCAGUGGGGAAUAUUGGACAAUGGGGGGAACCCUGAUCCAGCCACGCCGCGUGUGUGAAGAAGGCCUUUUGGUUGUAAAGCACUUUAAGCGAGGAGGAGGCUACCGAGAUUAAUACUCUUGGAUAGUGGACGUUACUCGCAGAAUAAGCACCGGCUAACUCUGUGCCAGCAGCCGCGGUAAUACAGAGGGUGCAAGCGUUAAUCGGAUUUACUGGGCGUAAAGCGUGCGUAGGCGGCUUCUUAAGUCGGAUGUGAAAUCCCUGAGCUUAACUUAGGAAUUGCAUUCGAUACUGGGAAGCUAGAGUAUGGGAGAGGAUGGUAGAAUUCCAGGUGUAGCGGUGAA